GAUGAACGCUGGCGGCGUGCCUAAUACAUGCAAGUCGAGCGAACAGACGAGGAGCUUGCUCCUCUGACGUUAGCGGCGGACGGGUGAGUAACACGUGGAUAACCUACCUAUAAGACUGGGAUAACUUCGGGAAACCGGAGCUAAUACCGGAUAAUAUAUUGAACCGCAUGGUUCAAUAGUGAAAGACGGUUUUGCUGUCACUUAUAGAUGGAUCCGCGCCGCAUCAGCUAGUUGGUAAGGUAACGGCUUACCAAGGCAACGAUGCGUAGCCGACCUGAGAGGGUGAUCGGCCACACUGGAACUGAGACACGGUCCAGACUCCUACGGGAGGCAGCAGUAGGGAAUCUUCCGCAAUGGGCGAAAGCUUGACGGAGCAACGCCGCGUGAGUGAUGAAGGUCUUCGGAUCGUAAAACUCUGUUAUUAGGGAAGAACAAAUGUGUAAGUAACUAUGCACGUCUUGACGGUACCUAAUCAGAAAGCCACGGCUAACUACGUG
rnacentral:rRNA from 1 species